rnacentral:rRNA from 1 species
AUUGAACGCUGGCGGCAGGCCUAACACAUGCAAGUCGAGCGAGCGGCGGACGGGUGAGUAAUGUCUGGGACACUGCCUGAUGGAGGGGGAUAACUACUGGAAACGGUAGCUAAUACCGCAUACCAUCAGAUGUGCCCAGAGGGGUUUAGCUAGUAGGUGGGGUAACGGCUCACCUAGGCGACGAUCCCUAGCUGGUCUGAGAGGAUGACCAGCCAUACUGGAACUGAGACACGGUCCAUACUCCUACGGAAGGCAUCAGUGGGGAAUAUUGCACAGUGGGCGGAGUCCUGAUGCAGCCAUGCCGCGUGUGUGAAGAAGGCCUUCGGGUUGUAAAGCACUUUCAGCGGGGAGGCGUUACCCGCGGAAGAAGCACCGGCUAACUCCGUGCCAGCAGCCGCGGUAAUUC